UAAAGGCGACAUCAUAAGAUUUUGAUAAAACUUUAGCACGAAUUCGAUUCAUGAUCCGGUUUACAUUAUUUUAGGCGUCUCUACCUUUCCCAUUUCUCUCAACACCGUAGAAUCUAUGGAAGAAGAUCUCAAAUUAAACAAACAGAUCUGAGUUUUGGUCGAGGAGAAAAUGAGUUGGAACCGUAAAUUUUGGUUUCAUGGCGAUUCUUUUGAGAUGACUACCGGUUAUCUGCUAAACUUACAUCUACAAAUCUGGAUGUUAUCCAACUGGAGCUUGGCGUGGUUGGUACUUUUAUCAGUCUGUGCAGAUUAGGGUGGCAGUUUGGCUAUCAUAGACUCUGGAUUUUUUGGAUCUUUGCAGCGGUGUACAUAAUUGUACACAUCAAUGUAAAUUAA